UCGGCUGUCAAUUUCUGGAUU
rnacentral:miRNA from 1 species